CCCCUAGAUGUUCUGGGCCGCACGCGCGCUACACUGAACAGUUCAACAAGUCUUAACCUUGGCCGAUAGGUCUGGGUAAUCUUUGAACGCUGUUCGUGAUUGGGAUAGACCUUUGCAAUUAUGGGUCUUCAACGAGGAAUUCCUAGUAAACGCAAGUCAUCAGCUUUCAUUGAUUACGUCCCUGCCCUUUGUACACACCGCCCGUCGCACCUACCGAUUGAAUGGUCCGGUGAAAUCUCGGGACGGCGGCUUGGUCGCUUGCGUCCGACUGCUGAAACUUGAUUAAACCAUAUCAUUUAGAGGAAGGUGAANUCGUANCA
rnacentral:rRNA from 1 species